AGCUGACUCUGUAAAAGAGCUCAGGGAGGGCUGUAAAAGCACUAUGAAGCGGUAUGUAAGCCUAAAUGCUAUUGCCAAAGAAAAGACCAAUGGCCAAUGAAAAGUAGUGGACCCAUCCUCUUAUCCUUCUGUGGAUACCCCAAAGCCUGCAGGCCAGGCAUACUUCUUCGUUCAGUUGUAUCAUUAUCAGGAACUUCAACAUACAACGUGGCUAAAGGAUUGAUUCAAAGACUCCGAUACCUCACAGUGGUAUCACCAUCAUUGGAUGUCACAGCUCUUUUUACAUCCAUAGAUCCAAAAUCUGUGACAGCGCUGACCUAACCCUAUACACCAAAAUUGAAUUAACCAGAAAUGUGGACCAUGCCAAACUACCUAACCACGUACUUUUAGUUCGGCUGAUACACAUAUCAACAGAUCAGAGGAACCCCUGCGGGAUCCCUGCUUCCUGAAUGAAUAGAGACUAUAAUAUCGAUAGCAGCCAUAUACACACAACCCAAAAUAUAGAUCAGGUACGUAGAUGACACCUUUGUCAUUAUUUAAAAGGGCCAAGUAGGGAACACGCAAGGAUCCCUUCAGCACCAUCUUCAAAGGAUUAAAAUUCAUUAGGGAAUCACAUUACCUUUCCUUGGAUAUCUUCAUUCCAGAUGGCAAAUUGGUCAUGGCAAAUGAGAAAUACACUGUCCGUUGUAAAGCCACCACCCCAACCAACAACAGACCGUUAGCAACCACGUGGCGUCACUGCAGCCCACAAUCUAACCAAAGCCCUCCAAAAUAGAAGUAAACCAAAAGACCCGGCAGCCCCCCAGAAGAAGAAGAAAAUCCAGGAAUAAUCUACAACAUACAUUGCAAGGCCCAUAACAGCCACUCUGGACAAACAGGCAGAAGAUGAGCAGGUCAAGGUCUGCAAACACCAAUUAGCAGUCAGAAGACAUGAAAACCCCUCACCAUCAAUAAACCUCCAGAUGAACCAGGAUUAACACCCAAGAUUAGCAGGCCAACCGUCAAGAAGCAAACAAUGCCCCAAUCAAGGGACUGGCAAGCUCACAGCCAUCCACCAAGGCCACUCCUACCAACGCUGAUAAGGCAAGCCCCACUCUAGUGUAUGAAAUGGGAACAAACCCUACUCCCUAGUCGAAUUGACGAUAUUACCUAGUUUGGUAAUGAGAUAUCUGCAAGAAAACGACGACGCUCAGAAAGCACCAAGGACCCUGCCGUUCAACCCUGAGCUCUUCUACCAAUACCUGUGGCAGAUUUGUAGUAGCCUUUAACAGGAUGAAAAGGCAACAGAGUUUGACCCCUUCCUUCAGCAAGAAAACGAGAUCGGAACCAGAUACAACAGUAUUGGCCUCGGGUGAUCCAAAAUCAUCACAAGCACCAUUACAAGCACCAUCGCUUGUGAGCAAGAAGAGAAGAGCAGAACCAGACUCAACUUGCAAGCUGCAAGUUGACAGCUGGUUUUCCCUGGUGAGCCCACAGCAUCAGAUGAAGAAACAGGCAUGGUGGAGGAGGACGUGACACCUGUCGUGCUGACCCUUCUGAAAAGGUGAUCCGUGAAAAGCAGUGAGCCUUUUAUCGAAACACCCGCAAAAUAAAUCUCAGUGGGAAUCUGCAAAGUUGGUGGAAAGUGGACUUCAAGCCAAAGGUUUCUGGCUCUUGGAAGAAUGCCAAGGGGAAGACAUGGGACAGAAUGGCCUCUGCCCAAAUAUUUGGGUAUUAAGUAAUGCUUGAAAAAUUGUGGAACCUGCUGAUUAACUUACAAAGCCGUGAGGUGUGCUUCUUGCAAGCAGCCAUAUUCUGGAGUGCUUCUCAUUGUUAAACAGAUUUUUCUUUGAAUAACCUAGCUCUCUCCAAUUGUAUUUGUGGUUUUGCUGUACUAUGGUUGAUUAAUGAAUCAGCUUAUUUAAUAAAUCACACAACCUGUGAAAUCUUAUUUCGUGAA